UGGUGCCCGGACUCGGAAUCGAACCAAGGACACGGGGAUUUUCAAUCCCCUGCUCUACCGACUGAGCUAUCCGGGC
rnacentral:tRNA from 12 species